GUAUAGCAAUAGCUACUUGCAUCAUUGUAAAAAUGAUGCAGGAUCGACUAUGUCGAAUAAAAUUCUAGGUAGAAUUAUGAUAAUGACAUUGUCUGCCUAUGUGUCUUGACCAANUUACGUGCCAGCAGUCGCGGUAAUACGUAGAAGACUAGUGUUAUUCAUGUUUAAUCGGUUUAAAGGGUACCUAGACGGUAAAUCAAGCCUAAAAUUAAAUGAAGGGACUAAUUUACUAGAGUUACUUAUGAGGGGGUAUUAAAGUACUGCUGGUGUAGAGAUGAAAUUCUGUCAUACCUCUUUUCAAUAGAAAAACAAUGGCACAGGUAUAGGCGAAAGCAUCCCCUUAUGUGAUAACUGACGUUGAGGGACGAAGGCUUUGUGUAGCGAACAGGAUUAGAUACCCCAGUAGUCAAAGCAGAAAAUGAUGAAUGUCAUAGAUUAGAUAAAUAAGUUUAUUCUAUAAAUGAAAGUGUAAGCAUUCCACCUCAAGAGUAAUUUGGCAACAUUGGAACUGAAAUCAUUAGACCGUUUCUGAAACCAGUAGUGAAGUAUGUUGUUUAAUUUGAUGAUCCGCAAAAAACCUUACCACAAUUUGAAUAUUUAUAUUUUUUAUUGUUUUCUUUUUAAUUUUCUUCUGAUUUGAUUUUUCUAAAAAAAAAAAGAAAAAAAGAAAAAGAGGCGAUAUGAUAUAUUUACAAGCGUUGCACGGCUGUCUUCAGUUAAUGUCGCGAGACUUUGGUUAGUUCCAUUAAAUUAACGUAAACCCUUACUUUAUUUUUAUAUAGAGUAGUUCCCCGCUAUAUUGGAUAUGA
rnacentral:rRNA from 1 species